CAUCCUUGCACAUGGGGCAUCUGCCUGGCUGGAAGAUGGCAGUGAGGAAUCCUAUAACCGGACCCUUCACACGUGCUCCUUCCCUGCAUAGCUGCUUCCAGAAGUCUCCAGGUUUCAAUCCAUUGGCUGUUUCAGGCAAGUGGCUCCUGUGCCCACAUCCAUACCUUGUAAGAAGAGCUGGGAGCAGCAGAUAGAGAUGCCCACACUGGACCAGGUCCCACGUGUUUUCUUUGGCAGGGGUCUGGCUGCCUGCACGAGACUCUGGCCCAGCUCUGUCUGCUCCUGAGGGUGAAAGACUCCUGAGGCUUUGCUGAUGGAGCAGUCAGAGCAAGGCCGACCGCAUCAGGCCACAUCCUGCCCUGCUGCAGUAAGUGAGAUCCGUGACAAUAUUACUGUAUUGACAGAAUCAGCUGUUCCUUAGAAAAAUACUAAACUUUAGUGAGCAGCUUAGGAAAUGUCCCUGCUGCUAGAAACUGGGAAAGUGCCAAAGGAGAGGUUU